rnacentral:rRNA from 1 species
UCCAUGCCCUACGGGGCGCACCAGGCGCGAAACCUCCGCAAUGCGGGAAACCGCGACGGGGUCAGCCGGAGUGCCGGUGCAUUGCACCGGCUGUCGGGGAGCCUAAACAGCUCCCCAUAGCAAGGGCCGGGCAAGGCCGGUGGCAGCCGCCGCGGUAAUACCGGCGGCCCGAGUGGCGGCCACUAUUAUUGGGCCUAAAGCGUCCGUAGCCGGGCUGGUAAGUCCCCCGGGAAAUCUGGCGGCUUAACCGUCAGAAUUCCGGGGGAUACUGCCAGCCUAGGGACCGGGAGAGGCCGGGGGAAUUCCCGGGGUAGGGGUGAAAUCCUAUAAUCCCGGGAGGACCACCUGUGGCGAAGGCGCCCGGCUGGAACGGGUCCGACGGUGAGGGACGAAGGCCAGGGGAGCGAACCGGAUUAGAUACCCGGGUAGUCCUGGCUGUAAACGAUGCGGGCUAGGUGUCGGGCCAGCCACGAGCUGGCCCGGUGCCGGAGGGAAGCCGUUAAGCCCGUCGCCUGGGGAGUACGGCCGCAAGGCUGAAACUUAAAGGAAUUGGCGGGGGAGCACGACAACGGGUGGAGCCUGCGGUUUACU